rnacentral:rRNA from 1 species
GACGAACGCUGGCGGCGUGCUUAACACAUGCAAGUCGAACGGAAAGGCCCUGCUUUUGUGGGGUGCUCGAGUGGCGAACGGGUGAGUAACACGUGAGUAACCUGCCCUUGACUUUGGGAUAACUUCAGGAAACUGGGGCUAAUACCGGAUAGGAGCUCCUGCUGCAUGGUGGGGGUUCGAAAGUUUCGGCGGUUGGGGAUGGACUCGGGGCUUAUCAGCUUGUUGGUGGGGUAGUGGCUUACCAAGGCUUUGACGGGUAGCCGGCCUGAGAGGGUGACCGGCCACAUUGGGACUGAGAUACGGCCCAGACUCCUACGGGAGGCAGCAGUGGGGAAUAUUGCACAAUGGGCGGAAGCCUGAUGCAGCAACGCCGCGUGCGGGAUGACGGCCUUCGGGUUGUAAACCGCUUUCGCCUGUGACGAAGCGUGAGUGACGGUAAUGGGUAAAGAAGCACCGGCUAACUACGUG